UAGUCGGGCGGGUAACGGCCCACCGAGGCGACGAUGCGUAGGGGUUCUGAGAGGAAGGCCCCCCACACUGGUACUGAGACACGGACCAGACUCCUACGGAAGGCAGCAG
rnacentral:rRNA from 1 species